CCUACGGGAGGCAGCAGUGAGGAAUAUUGGUCAAUGGACGAGAGUCUGAACCAGCCAAGUCGCGUGAAGGAUGACUGCCCUGUGGGUUGUAAACUUCUUUUAUAAAGGAAUAAAACGAGGCACGUGUGCCUUUUUGCAUGUACUUUAUGAAUAAGGAUCGGCUCACUCCGUGCCAGCAGCCGCGGUAAUACGGAGGAUCCGAGCGUUAUCCGGAUUUAUUGGGUUUAAAGGGAGCGUAGAUGGGUUGUUAAGUCAGUUGUGAAAGUUUGCGGCUCAACCGUAAAAUUGCAAUUGAUACUGGCAGGCUGGAGUACAGUUGAGGUAGGCGGAAUUCGUGGUGUAGCGGUGAAAUGCUUAGAUAUCACGAAGAACCCCGAUUGCGAAGGCAGCUUACUAAACUGUGACUGACAUUGAUGCGCGAAAGUGUGGGUAUCAAACAGGAUUAGAUACCCCUGUAGUC
rnacentral:rRNA from 1 species